GUACUGUUGACGUGUCCCACAAUAGGACGAAACGGCCGUUCAGUGC
rfam:Schistosoma haematobium scaffold131_6, whole genome shotgun sequence.